UACGUAGGGUGCGAGCGUUGUCCGGAAUUAUUGGGCGUAAAGAGCUCGUAGGCGGCUUGUCGCGUCGGAUGUGAAAGCCCGGGGCUUAACUCCGGGUCUGCAUUCGAUACGGGCAGGCUAGAGUUCGGUAGGGGAGAUCGGAAUUCCUGGUGUAGCGGUGAAAUGCGCAGAUAUCAGGAGGAACACCGGUGGCGAAGGCGGCCUUCUGGACCAAUACUGACGCUCAUGCACGAAAGCGUGGGGAGCAAACAGG
rnacentral:rRNA from 1 species